CAGUCGCCGCGGUAAUACGUAGGUGGCAAGCGUUGUCCGGAAUUAUUGGGCGUAAAGGGCUCGCAGGCGGUUUCUUAAGUCUGAUGUGAAAGCCCCCGGCUCAACCGGGGAGGGUCAUUGGAAACUGGGAAACUUGAGUGCAGAAGAGGAGAGUGGAAUUCCACGUGUAGCGGUGAAAUGCGUAGAGAUGUGGAGGAACACCAGUGGCGAAGGCGACUCCCUGGUCUGUAACUGACGCUGAGGAGCGAAAGCGUGGGGAGCGAACAGGAUUAGAUACCCCGGUAGUCCCUGUCUCUUAUAC
rnacentral:rRNA from 1 species